rnacentral:rRNA from 1 species
CCUACGGGAGGCAGCAGUGGGGGAUAUUGCACAAUGGGGGGAACCCUGAUGCAGCGACGCCGCGUGGGUGAAGGAGUGCUUCGGCAUGUAAAGCCCUAUCGGCAGGGAAGAAGCAAGACGGUACCUGACUAAGAAGCCCCGGCUAACUACGUGCCAGCAGCCGCGGUAAUACGUAGGGGGCGAGCGUUAUCCGGAUUCACUGGGUGUAAAGGGAGCGUAGGCGGCCAUGCAAGCCAGGGGGGAAAGCCCGGGGCCGACCCCCGGGACUGCCCUUGGAACUGGGCGGCUAGAGUGCAGGAGGGGCAGGCGGAAUGAGUGGUGUAGCGGUGAAAUGCGUAGAUAUAAGGAGGAACACCGGCGGCGAAGGCGGCCUGCUGGACUGCGACUGACGUUGAGGCUCGAAAGCGUGGGGAGCGAACAGGAUUAGAUACCCUAGUAGUC